GGUCAAGCAAUGAAGCGCACACGGUGGAUGCCUAGGCAGCCAGAGGCGAUGAAAGACGUUGUAGCCUGCGAUAAGCGUCGGUGAGGUGGCAAACAACCUGCGACCCGGCGAUCUCUGAAUGGGGAAACCCACUCACCAUAAGGUGAGUAUCGCAUCCUGAAUACAUAGGGAUGCGAGGCGAACCGGGGGAACUGAAACAUCUCAGUACCCCGAGGAAAAGAAAUCAACCGAGAUUCCCCCAGUAGCGGCGAGCGACCGGGGACCAGCCCUUAAGCGUGUGACUGAUUAGACAAAGGCAUUGGGAAAUGCCGCCAUAGUGGGUGAUAGCCCCGUAGUCGAAAAUCUGAUCGCGUGAAAUCGAGUAGGUCGGGGCACGAGAAACCUUGACUGAAGACGGGGGGACCAUCCUCCAAGGCUAAAUACU
rnacentral:rRNA from 1 species